rnacentral:miRNA from 1 species
UGCACUGUAGAGCCGUAUUCGGAC